rnacentral:rRNA from 1 species
UACGUAGGGUGCGAGCGUUGUCCGGAAUUAUUGGGCGUAAAGAGCUCGUAGGCGGUCUGUCGCGUCUGCUGUGAAAACUGGAGGCUCAACCUCCAGCCUGCAGUGGGUACGGGCAGACUAGAGUGCGGUAGGGGAGAAUGGAACUCCUGGUGUAGCGGUGGAAUGCGCAGAUAUCAGGAAGAACACCGAUGGCGAAGGCAGUUCUCUGGGCCGUAACUGACGCUGAGGAGCGAAAGCGUGGGGAGCGAACAGG